rnacentral:rRNA from 1 species
GAUGAACGCUGGCGGCGUGCCUAAUACAUGCAAGUCGAGCGAACGGGCGAGAAGCUUGCUUCUCUGAUGUUAGCGGCGGACGGGUGAGUAACACGUGGAUAACCUACCUAUAAGACUGGGAUAACUUCGGGAAACCGGAGCUAAUACCGGAUAAUAUUUUGAACCGCAUGGUUCAAAAGUGAAAGACGGUCUUGCUGUCACUUAUAGAUGGAUCCGCGCUGCAUUAGCUAGUUGGUAAGGUAACGGCUUACCAAGGCAACGAUGCAUAGCCGACCUGAGAGGGUGAUCGGCCACACUGGAACUGAGACACGGUCCAGACCCCUACGGGAGGCAGCAGUAGGGAAUCUUCCGCAAUGGGCGAAAGCCUGACGGAGCAACGCCGCGUGAGUGAUGAAGGUCUUCGGAUCGUAAAACUCUGUUAUUAGGGAAGAACAUAUGUGUAAGUAACUGUGCACAUCUUGACGGUACCUAAUCAGAAAGCCACGGCUAACUACGUG